rnacentral:rRNA from 1 species
UGGGGAAUCUUCCGCAAUGGACGAAAGUCUGACGGAGCAACGCCGCGUGUAUGAUGAAGGUCUUCGGAUUGUAAAGUACUGUCAUUGGGGAAGAACGGUUUUCUUGAGAAUAUUGAGAAGACAUGACGGUACCCAAGGAGGAAGCCCCGGCUAACUACGUGCCAGCAGCCGCGGUAAUACGUAGGGGGCAAGCGUUGUCCGGAAUUAUUGGGCGUAAAGGGCGCGUAGGCGGGCCUUUAAGUCCGGUGUGAAAGAUCAGGGCUCAACCCUGAGAGUGCAUCGGAAACUGGAGGCCUUGAGGACAGGAGAGGAAAGUGGAAUUCCACGUGUAGCGGUGAAAUGCGUAGAUAUGUGGAGGAACACCAGUGGCGAAGGCGACUUUCUGGACUGUAACUGACGCUGAGGCGCGAAAGCGUGGGGAGCAAACAGGAUUAGAUACCCUGGUAGUCCACGCCGUAAACGAUGAGUGCUAGGUGUAGAGGGUAUCGACCCCUUCUGUGCCGCAGUUAACACAAUAAGCACUCCCGCCUGGGGAGUACGGCCGCAAGGUUGAAACUUAAAGGAAUUGACGGGGUCAUAGCUG